UACGUAGGGGGCGAGCGUUGUCCGGAUUCAUUGGGCGUAAAGGGCGCGUAGGCGGCUUUUCAAGUGACGGGUGAAAUCCCUCGGCUUAACCGAGGAACUGCCUGUCAGACUGGAAGGCUUGAGACCGGGAGAGGUGAGUGGAAUUCCCAGUGUAGCGGUGAAAUGCGUAGAUAUUGGGAGGAACACCAGUGGCGAAGGCGGCUCACUGGACCGGAACUGACGCUGAGGCGCGAAAGCGUGGGGAGCAAACAGG
rnacentral:rRNA from 1 species